GCACUUCGCUCCGCCCUGUAAAAGCUUCCGCCACUGCAGGGAAACAGUAUCUCACCAAAGAGGUUCCUCCCCGACACCCUCCAGUCCACAGCCUCAAGACUGUAAGGAGCAAACCGUAAGAACAUUUGACUUUCACAGUCAAAGGCUGAUCCUCUUUUCAUGUAAAAAUGGUUUUGGAUACACAUGAAAUGUGUAUUUCUGCAUGUGUUCCCAACGUAAUCAUUUAAUGUUUGUUUUUGUUUGGCAAUAACUGAAACUGCUGAAGCGUUUUACACUCUUCCAAGGUUGCUGUAAAAGUGCAAUUGCCUUCCAGAUGUCGCAAAUAAAUUGAGAUUUCAGUCAAAAUUAGUCCUUUGGAGCAAACGCAAUAAAAUUGCUCAAAUGUUUUUUCGGUUACAUAGGAAGUGUCCGUCUCCAUCGCCUCUAACCCCAGGAGCAGCAGGACCACGGAGACACCCUGAGCUGGGCCGCGCCUGCGUCAUGAAGUGUAGCCGAGGAAGCGCAACAAAUGACGUAACAGCAGCGUGCUUGCGAUAUUGUAACUGACAUGUUGCCGCUCGAAUUAAUCCGGUUUUUAACAGCAGCAGGCACCAGCAGCACCGACAUUCAGGCGAUACCAGUCCUGCCAGUCCAGCGGAUAGCAGAAGAGCCCAGUGCGGUACAGCAAGUCAGUGGCGAUGGUGAAAACGUCUGCAGCUCGCCUUUUGAUUUCACUCCGCAACGAAUACGGUUAAACAAGGACCACGAAUUAUUUGAAGAUGGGGAUAUACAGAGACAUCUGUACCUGCAAGAUGCUGCCACUAGUGUAGCGGAGGCAACUGAUAGGCCAAAGGUUUCAGAGUUCCAGUGCCACAUCGCUGGCUGCAGGGAGCUGUUCGACACGCUGGAGGGCUACGAGCAUCACUACAACGCGCUGCACCGGAACGUCUGCGGCCACUGCAGGCGCUCCUUUCCCUCGGGCCGCCUCCUGGACAUCCACAUCCCGGAGUGGCACGACGCGCUGUUCCAGGUCCUGGCGGAGAGGCAGAACAUGUACCAGUGUUUGGUGGAGGGUUGUGAUGUAAAACUGAAGACAAGCGGCGAAAGGAAAGAUCAUUUGAUAAAAAAGCACAGCUAUCCUCCAGAUUUUAGAUUUGACAAGCCAAAAAAGAGCAAAAGCAAGGCUCAGGAGAAGCCGUGCUGGCAGAAAGGCGCAAGCAUGGAUGUGUGUGAAGCUGCCGCUGUCCAGCUCAGGGAACCGGAGCGCGCGGAGCCCAUGGAGUUCUCUCCUUCUGGAAACACAGCUCCGGCGGGCCGGGCCUCUGGGACUGCAGAUGACUCUCGCGCCGAGCAGACCAAGCCACGCUAUUCCUACAAGGUACCACCGUCAGUGUGCUUUGGGCAGGGCUCAGUGCGAGGAUUCAGGGGCACCAGAAGAAAGAAAUGAAGUUUCGUGGGGUGAUGAGGUUUUCUGAAAGGUUUCCUAAAAGUCCUUGGUCUCAACUGGGAAGCAGACCAUUGUCCGAUGGAUGGGAGUCUCAGAGGGAGCAAAUGAAUCCGAGUGAGAUGUAAAGUGAAGGUUCCCACAAGACAGAAGCUGGGACCACAAGCAUACAGAACACUGCCUUCCCAUCCGGAGCAUUUUCUUGUUUUCCUGAGUGCGACCGAUGGCACUCCCUUUUUAUCUGGAAAAUCCUGGAAUAAUGCUAAAGGAUGCCCAUUGCAAAGACACUCAGGUCCUCAGAGACACAGCAGAAGAACAGGCUGCCCUGUCAUGUGAGCCCACACUGCCUGCAAGUGGUUAGGGAAUGUCUUCCUACAGAACAACUUCUGAAAGUCGUCUUGCUGGUGUGAACCAGCACAAGACAAACGAGGGAGAUGAGACUCUUACAACGUGACUGGUUGCUGUAACAGUCUUUCACAGCCAUAUCGGACUUUGGAAACAGCAGUGGGACCGGGGGCUGCUCCUGAUGUCACAGCGGCGCUCGCUCUGCCUUGCCAGCAGCAGCAGCGGCCGCGCCAGGGCCGGACAGCCCCGGGAAAGCCGCGGCGGGGUCCCUCCACUCCAGCGGGCAACGCGGGGGGAGGCGUGGCGGACGGCGUGGCCAGGUUCUGCCGGAACACCCGGGCGAGGACCGACCGCACUUGACGCCUGAAAGCAGACAAGCACACGGCACGGGGAGAACGCGUCCGGAUCGCGCAGGGGCGCUACAGUGGGAGAGGAGUUGUGCUACCACAAAGUCGCGGUGAUUUUGAAUUGCAUAGCGAUUCUUAGUCGGCUUUAGUCAGCUCCCUGUUUAUCUGUUCUAAUGUACUAUUAAUUCCGUGUAGCACUGCGUGUUUUUGCUGCAGCCCCACCCACUCCACGUUAAUUUCAGUUAAUUGUAACCGAGUAGGCUUCGUGGAUAAAAAGCAGGGGUGAUGACCACUGCAGUGCGAGUCCCAGGUCUGAUCAGAGUUAGCAGUGACGCAGCUCUUGUUUAGUUUUCAGUCUGAGGUUUUCCGAUACCAGCUACAACAAUUCUUAUAAUUUGCUACAGUCCUUCUGGAUUACAUAAUUGUUUGACAAUGACUGAAGUAAACCAGUGGUUAUAUUUGUAAGUCGCGUAGGACUUCACAAUGGAUUAAAUAUACCCCUUUAAAAAACAACCUCCUGACAACAUAAUCACAUUUACAAAUAACCCACUAUCUCAUUCUGUAGGUCACAUUAUUUUUUGUCUCUGGAAUAAAUUGGUACAUCUUGAUUUUCAAGACCAUACUGACAGAAGGCCCCAUUGUUCAUCUUCUAUUUUAGAACUGGUCACUGCAAGAAUGUGAAAUGUAUUAGCAGGUCUGUGGAAAAUAUCCUAUUGAAAUAUUAGUUCCUCACCUUUUUGCAUAAAUGCAGACUUUUUGUUACUCACAUCACAUUUUCUGUGACUUGGGAAAUAAACAGAAAAUCAGUCUUUGUUAAUAAUCUUCAAAUCCAAGUUUGAAAUUGAAAAUGAAUUGCAUGUGUAAAUACGUGAUAAUGAUGGAAAACGAUUGAAGCUGGUUUUCUGCAUUUAGUGACAUAUCUGACUUCCUGGGGGUGAAACUGGUGUACUUUCAGUCGUUCCUAUUCUAUCAUUACAGCUAUAUAAGGGAAAUUGCUGUAUACAUAGUCAGCAAUAAAAACAGGGCUAUGAAUAUUGCAUGUUACUUGUAUUAUUUGCUUUGAGGUUUUAAAGGGAGAAGUAUUUCCUGUAGUCAUGCCAGCUGGUAACAAUUUUGAGACACAUUAAAAGCCAGUUUCUGCCAAA